UACGGAGGGAGCUAGCGUUAUUCGGAAUUACUGGGCGUAAAGCGCACGUAGGCGGCUUUGUAAGUUAGAGGUGAAAGCCUGGAGCUCAACUCCAGAACUGCCUUUAAGACUGCAUCGCUUGAAUCCAGGAGAGGUGAGUGGAAUUCCGAGUGUAGAGGUGAAAUUCGUAGAUAUUCGGAAGAACACCAAUGGCGAAGGCGGCUCACUGGACUGGUAUUGACGCUGAGGUGGCGAAAGCGUGGGGAGCAAACAGG
rnacentral:rRNA from 1 species